CAGUCGCCGCGGUAAUACAGAGGGUGCGAGCGUUAAUCGGAUUUACUGGGCGUAAAGCGUGCGUAGGCGGCUUUUUAAGUCGGAUGUGAAAUCCCUGAGCUUAACUUAGGAAUUGCAUUCGAUACUGGGAAGCUAGAGUAUGGGAGAGGAUGGUAGAAUUCCAGGUGUAGCGGUGAAAUGCGUAGUGAUCUGGAGGAAUACCGAUGGCGAAGGCAGCCAUCUGGCCUAAUACUGACGCUGAGGUACGAAAGCAUGGGGAGCAAACAGGAUUAGAUACCCCCGUAGUCCCUGUCUCUUAUAC
rnacentral:rRNA from 1 species